GUCCGGCACCUGCGGGGCCCAGCCCAACGGGCCCCCUCGUCUAAUGCCUAAGUGGAGACGCUGCGGGCUCGAUCCAGCUGCCGGGCUUUGCCCUGGGACGCGCUGGGCUCCGGGGUGGUUUGAUGCACCGGGACCCUGCUUCUCGCUCGCUGAUGGGAGCUCGGGGCCAAAGCGUGGCCGGCUCCAGCUCGUUACCUCUCCCCCCAAUCAAUUCCCGGCCCCUCCCGCCCCAGCCCCGCUCCGCUCCGCUCUGGCCGCAGCAGCGGCUGCAUCCAAACCCCCUCGGGCACGUCACUUCCUUGCAAACUUUCCCGAGGAAAUGUCUCUGCCAAAGUUGUUUUUCUUCAAAGAAGCUCGGCUCCGGGGCUGUGUCCUCGCCCUCUGACUGGGGAGGAUUUCCCGGCGGUGCAGGCUGCGUGCAUGUCAAGCUUCCUGUGUUUGUCACACAGACCGACAGCCAGCCCCGCAGCCAUGGACGGACCGGCUGACAAGGGCUGAGCGGGGUCGGGACCGUUAGCUCUGCAAAAGUCAAUCAAGAGCAUCCACUCAACUCGUGCAGCGCCCCCCCACCCCCCCGCGAGAAACGCCCUGCACCCGCCGCGGCUUCUCCUGCACCGCCUCGGACUGCAGCCCGGGGAAGUUUCCCGGGACCCCGGGUCAUGGCUAGGGACUACGCAGCUAAGAGCCUGGACAACAUCGACCUGGCUGCGCUCCGGGACCCAGCAGGGAUAUUUGAACUGGUGCAAGUAGUUGGAAACGGGACAUAUGGACAAGUCUAUAAGGGCCGCCACGUUAAGACGGGACAACUAGCUGCAAUCAAGGUUAUGAAUGUUACUGAGAACGAGGAGGAAGAAAUCAAACUGGAAAUAAAUAUGUUAAAGAAAUAUUCUCAUCACCGGAAUAUUGCGACGUAUUAUGGAGCAUUUGUAAAGCAGAGCCCUGCAGGCCAGGAUGAUCAGCUCUGGUUGGUGAUGGAAUAUUGUGGAGCUGGCUCUGUAACAGAUUUGGUAAAGAAGACAAAAGGUAACUGUUUCAAGGAGGACUGGAUUGCGUAUAUCUGCAGAGAGGUUCUCAGGGGUUUGGCACAUCUUCAUAUUAAUCACGUUAUCCACCGAGAUAUUAAAGGACAGAACGUUCUCUUAACAGAAAAUGCAGAAGUAAAACUAGUGGAUUUUGGGGUAAGCGCUCAACUGGAUAGGACGAUUGGGAGAAGAAAUACAUUCAUCGGAACUCCCUAUUGGAUGGCGCCCGAGGUCAUAGCUUGCGAGGAGAACCAAGACUCAACAUACGAUUACAGAAGUGACUUGUGGUCUCUGGGAAUCACAGCUAUAGAAAUGGCAGAAGGAGCUCCUCCCCUGUGUGAUAUGCAUCCCAUGAGAGCUCUCUUUCUCAUUCCACGAAACCCUCCCCCAAAACUGAAAUCCAGAAAAUGGUCCAAGAAAUUUCUUAAUUUUGUUGAAAGUUGCCUAGUUAAAAAUUACUUGCAUCGUCCAUCCACUGAAACUUUGCUUAAACAUUCCUUUAUCCGAGACAUGCAGAAUGAACGGCAAGUGCGCAUCAUGCUGAAAGACCACCUGGACAGGACUAGGAAGAAAAAGGGAGAGAAAGACGAAACGGAGUAUGAGUAUACUGGAAGUGAGGAAGAAGAUGAUGAACUGGAUGAAGAUGAAGGAGAACCAAGUUCCAUAGUUAAUAUCCCUGGUGAAUCAACGCUCCGUCGUGAAUUUCUGAGGCUGCAGCAGGAGAAUAAAAAUCGGUCUGACCCUCAUCGACAGCAGCAGUUCCAGCAGCAGCAGCUAAAGGACCAGGAGAAAUACAAAAAGCAGCUGCAGGCAGAGCGGCAGAAACGAAUCGAGCAAGAAAAAGAGCGGAGGAAGAGGCUGGAGGAUCAUCAGAAGAGAGAAGAAGAGCUCCGGAAGCAGCAAGAAUGUGAGCAGAGAUGGCCAGAAAUUAAGGCAGUUCAGCGCAGAAAUGAAAAGUGUGAAGAUGACAAGAGAUUUGUUGACGAGGAAAUGUGCAAAGUGGACGGACAGAGGAAAUCAGAAAGGAAGCAGAAAAAGAUGGAAGAAGUGCAACACAAUAAGAAGUUACAUCGGACUCUUCCCAAAGAUCAGACCCAACUGCUGUCUCUUCAGCACGACCACAAGCAAAAGAAGAAAGAGCUUCCAAAGAGCUCGAGUUCAGCAUCACAGCCUCCGCCAAGCAGUACAAGCAAAGAGGCCGAGGACAGAAAGAAGAAAAAUGAUGGGAUACAGACUCAUCUCAACUGGGCAGCAGUUCUUGGACAUGAAGCCACGCCACAUACUAGACUAGGUUCUGGCAGUAGUUCUAGUCCUUGCACCCCAGCUUUGCAAAGAGCAGUGCUAGCACAGAGUGAAAACCUCCGGACCAGUAGAGACGUAUACCACAGCAGUUCACUGUCAGACAUGGUGAUAACACCAGUGAGCCCAGGACAGGAUGAUGUAUUCUGGAGUGUUUGUCAAAAUGAAGAGCAGCCUCCAAAGGUUCCAGAAAGAACAACCUCUAAAUUUUACAGCAGGGAUCAUCUUGGCCGUCAAAGAUGUCCUUCAAGUAACAUGCAGCAGUCAUCCCCGGGGGGACAUGCUCUGAAACUAAACAGCAGCAGCAGCUCUCCUGGCAGCAAGCAAUGGGAGAUGGGAUCUCAUCUCAGCAAAAGAUCAACCUCAGGCUCGUCUAAGGCAGAGAGCCCAGUGUCCCAGAACAACCCGCAACAGUGCAAGAAGUCUGAAAAUGCUCCUCACCCGGCCCAGUUUUCAAGUCCAGCCUUCUUCGCCAAAGGGAAAGACGGUGCCAACAUAUUCUCCACAGUAGCAGAAUAUUCAUCAUCCAGUGAUGAACUGCUCAGCAGCGAUGAUGAUGAUAUGAUUCACACAAGGCAACUGCUAAAUAAUGGAAUGGCAGAUUUCUCAAGGACAGGAGUUCCAGAUGGAAUUGAACUGAAACCCCAAAGCAUCGUAAUAGAACAGAAGAAUCAUAUUACAGAGAAACAAAGUUGUAGCACCCAGGAAGGACUCUGGAGCAUACACAACCAGAACUAUCUCCUGCCAGAUCUCCUACAGCAAAGCCAAAUUUCAGACUCCUCGGCGAACCAGCAAAAAGUUACCCAGAAUAGUCAAGGACCUCAGAACAAAUCUGUAAAUAAUAAGACAUCAAGUGCUGAAAGUACACCCUCAAAGGGAAGUUCAUCAUCUACAACAUCCUUUACUUCGUUCAUAGAUCCUAGACUACUACAAAUCUCACCUCCCAGCAGUCCAGCAGGGCCUACUUGUAGCUCUCCGUCUAGCCCCAAACCAGAGCCUAUUAGGAGAGGGAAUGCAAGGAAAGGCUCUGUUGUCAAUGUCAACCCCACAAAUAUCCGGCCACAGAGUGACAGUCCAGAAAUUCGCAAAUACAAGAAGAAAUUUAAUUCAGAGAUCCUGUGUGCUGCUCUGUGGGGGGUAAAUUUACUGGUGGGGACGGAGAAUGGGUUAUGGCUGCUGGACCGAAGUGGACAAGGAAGGGUUUACUCACUGAUCACAAGGAGAAGAUUCCAGCAAAUGGAUGUUCUGGAAGGACUCAAUGUGCUAAUCACCAUAUCAGGCAAAAAGAAUAAGCUGAGGGUGUAUUAUUUAUCCUGGCUGAGAAACAAGAUUCUGCGCAAUGAUCCAGAGGUGGAGAAGCGGCAAGGCUGGGUGUCCGUGGGAGACCUGGAAGGCUGCGUGCACUACAAAGUCGGUGAGUCUUGUUCAUAGGCAGCCCUACGCAGUCCUCCUUUCCUAUCUGAUCACACGUAUUGGCCACAUUUUCCUUCACCCUUAUUGAAAAAUUAUACCGGGGCUUGGUCAUUUCUUCAAACCUGCGUGCAGUACAUCACGGAUGCCCCCCUCCCUUUAAUUCCACAUUGCUCCUCCCUUUGCAGCCGUUGCCAAGAGGGUAUACUACUCUUUGCUACAAGGGCUGGCUGAACUGAAAGGCAGGAUGCUUCUGUCGCUCAGCCAGUGCUUUCAGCAUUCCGGGGUUGGCUGGCAUCCUCAUUGUUAGUGACAUUUUUCACCUGCGUCAUACCAGUCUCCUCUUCUGGCCCUGAGUACCUGCACAGUAUCGGUAUCAAUGGGAUGCCUGCAGGUAAUUGAUCAGGAUGGGUGUACCACAAUUCGUCCCUGUCUCUAUAUUGUAUAAGCCCUAAAUAUACAUAUCAAAGUUAUACUUAAGUAUGCAGUAAAAUGCAUUUGUGACCAGAGCUGAAAUAUCAUCUGGCUCUUAUUCGGCUUCUGCAUUGAGCACUUUUGAAGAUGAACACCAGUAUAUGUGACAGUCAUUAUUACUUUAGCACUUAAGAUAUUUCAGUGAUGCAUGCUGUAGCAGAACAUAAAAUAGAUUUGACUGUAUUAAAAGAUGCUAUAUUACAGUUGUGUUUUCCCAAACAAUAUAGCAAACUAAUGUGUGGGUGGAUGGGUGGUUGGGAUGGGGAGGUCUUUGCCUUAUAUUCGGUUUUAUUGCUUUGCUUGAACAACACAGUGCUUUAAAAAUUGGCAUAGUUUGGAAUGAAAUCAGAGACAGAAAGCUAAAUAGAUCUGCGUGAACCUAUAGUUAUUUUCUUUGUAAUUAUAGUGCAACUGCAUUUAUUUUCAACUCUAAUGGCUCAUUUUUAGGUUUUAUAAAGAAAAGUAUACAUAAAUGUAAAUGUACACUUGUUUGCAGCUUCUGGGAGGAUGGGCAUGAGAUAGAAAAUAACUUAAGUAGUUUGACAAAAUGGUCAUAGAAAAGACUCUCAGGGAGCCAGAAAAACUCUAACUUCUAGAGAACCCCCUGCAAACCUCAGACAAAAAGCCUCCCUGAACCUUGACAUUUCCAGUUUACCAAAAUGUGGUCAUGUCUACAGGAGUUGUGCGGAUGCCCUUGGACUUUGCAGACAGCAUCCACUUUAAACUGACUUCUCAACUUUGACCUUCAGCAAAAUGCAAUAUAUUCCUCUCUCUCCACAGUCAGCUAAACAGGGAUUGUCUCUGAUGCUUUGCUGCUUUGGGCAAGCAGCAGCUGCUAUUUCACUGUUUGCAAAUCCUUGUGUAUUUUAACCUUUGUCCUUACGGGCACUUUUCCCGUAAUCAAGAAAAGGCUGUUUUUUAUUUUCUCUGCCUAGGUUGGCCUUUCUCAUCAGUUUUCCAUCCUCGUCCAGCCUCGCCCCUUCACCGAGCUGCCGUUAUGUGUUGUGCCAGUGUGAAAUGGUCCCGUUUGAGUGGCGUGUGCUGAGCAUACCCUUACUCCCCCAGAAAUGAUUCUUACCUAACUUGUGUAACACCUGCAUCUCUUUUAGAGAACCUGACUGUACUUUGCCACACAGACACUGAAUGUAAAACAAGGCAGAAAGAAAUGUGUAGGAAAGCAAUACCCUUGUGGCCUGUUCUAUUUCUGAGGGAAAUGCUCAUGUCUGGCAGAAUUAAAAUAAAACAGACCAAAAAAACCUUAAUUUUCAGUGCCCGGCUCUGCGUUUACUGUUCAUAAACCCAACGUGAGUUUAACCAGCUCAAAGAAACUGCUCCUCUCUGAAAUGCUUAUUCAGCUUGACACAUGGGGAGGCCACUGUGCCCAUAUGCUUGGGGAUUUAAUUGCCACCAUGCACGCUGAGAAGAGAAUAAAGCCUUUAGAGCACCACGAAGGAGCUCAGCAAACCGCUGGCCCUCCUUUUGUAGCCUAGAAGAUAUCACAACGUGCACUUGAUAGCAUCGCUAAGUAAUGCUGACGGGGGUCUGUUGUUUGACAGCAAAUCCUUUCAAAAAGCAAUUGUCUAUGGAAAAGUUUGCACAGCUGUUUGUCUGAUGAUUUCCCCAGCCUCUAGCAGCGAUUUGAGGCCAUCUCGCUGGAUAGAAGCAAUAGUAGAUGAUCGAGACCAUUAUGCAGGCUUUUUGUUAUUCGUUUGUACAGCGCCUCGCAUGAUGGGCCUGGGACCUCCAUGCACGCCUGCAGUACCCACACAAAACCAGAUAAAUAAGAAACAGAACCAAAAGAGUAUGGAAGUCGGGAUGGUGUCUUAUGGCCAUUGCCAUAAAGCCAUGAUAGAGCCCUUAGCCUCUCUGAGACUGGGAAUAAUAGACUUGCUUAGUUGAUAGGGGUGGUGUGCAGACUAAUUCAUUAAUUUUUUUUAUACUGCUUUGAGAGCUGUACAACAAAGGUGCUCUUUAACAGCCCAGCUCAGUGCCUAUUGAAGGUAAUGGAAUGACUCCAAUAAUGGGCAUUGGAUCAGGCACUCAGUACAAGGUAUCAGUAUUGUAAUUGUCAAGCAUUCAUGCCAGAAAUCUGACUGUAGAAUUUCUUGUCCAACCCAGGAACAGAAAAUUAUCCUCUGACCUAUAUACGUUCAGACUAAAAGCUUUGACAUCCCAUCACCGAAUACUAUUAAUGAACUGCUUGCAAACACUGUACAGAUCUUUCUGUGCCUCAGUUUAAAAUCUUUAAAAUACCACCUUUGUAAAGAAUUUUGAGCAGUAGAUAAUGGUAUAGGCCCAAGUUUAGACUUCAAUAAAAUAAUAAUUUUGCAUUGCUUGCUUCCUUCCUCUCUCGGGUCUAUAUAGUGACCAGACAAGCCCCAAUCUUGUAUAAAUUUAUGCAUGUGAGUAACUUAAUCACACACAAAAGUGCUUUCAGAAACAGGGCCUUAGAUCAAGUGUUUUUAGGGCACUGACCUGUCUUGAUUGUAUGUAAGGUAGCUAGCAUACAUUUGGGUGAUAAAUAAAUAAUAAAUAUUAAUAAUAACUAUAAGCAUUGGCUGUGUUACUGAAAGUCAUUGAACUGAAGGUUUAAAGGAAAGGAGAGAUUAUUUACAAGUUGUUGUUAAAUAUCAAGGACCAACUUCUAAUACCAUUACUCAGUGAACAACACCUUACUCCAAAAAUAGUCC